UUACUAUGGAGAGUUUGAUCCUGGCUCAGGAUGAACGCUAGCGGCAGGCUUAAUACAUGCAAGUCGAACGGCAGCACAGUGUAGCAAUACAUGGGUGGCGAGUGGCGCACGGGUGCGUAACACGUAUGCAAUUUGCCAAUAACUGGGGGAUAGCCUUCCGAAAGGAAGAUUAAUACCCCAUAACAUAAUGAAGAGGCAUCUCUUUAUUAUUAAAUCUCCGGAGGUUAUUGAUGAGCAUGCGUCCGAUUAGCUAGUUGGUGAGGUAACGGCUCACCAAGGCAACGAUCGGUAGGGGGUCUGAGAGGAUGAUCCCCCACACGGGUACUGAGACACGGACCCGACUCCUACGGGAGGCAGCAGUAAGGAAUAUUGGACAAUGGAGGCAACUCUGAUCCAGCCAUGCCGCGUGAAGGAUGAAGGCGCUACGCG
rnacentral:rRNA from 1 species